rnacentral:rRNA from 1 species
GCGUCUUAACAUGCNAGUCGAACGAUGAACCACUUCGGUGGGGAUUAGUGGCGAACGGGUGAGUAACACGUUGGGCAAUCUGCCCUGCACUCUGGGACAAGCCCUGGAAACGGGGUCUAAUACCGGAUACUGACCCGCCUGGGCAUCCAGGCGGUUCGAAAGCUCCGGCGGUGCAGGAUGAGCCCGCGGCCUAUCAGCUUGUUGGUGAGGUAACGGCUCACCAAGGCGACGACGGGUAGCCGGCCUGAGAGGGCGACCGGCCACACUGGGACUGAGACACGGCCCAGACUCCUACGGGANGGCAGCAGA